CUCUCAAUUGAGAGAGUAGCUUUGAUUUACAUCAAAGCUAUCAUGCGUAUGAACCAAAAAACUCCUCUAUUAUUCCAAUCUCAGACCUUCAAAUUCCUUUGCUUAGAAAAUCAACUCUCAAUUAUAACAAAAUUCCUCCUACUCUCUAGUAAGGGUCGCAAAUUCGGUGAUUGGUAGAUUGAAGGAGAUAGCUAAGUUUCAAGUAUUAUAUUAUCAUCUGAAAUCAGCAAUCAAAAGGUAUUAUUAUCUUUUUAUGCUCUAAAAGAAAUUAGGGCUAUGUGAAGAAAUUAGGGCUAUGUGUUAAUUGAUACAUGUGAUUGAAAGUUAUGUGACUACAUGACUAUUUAAUUUGCGAGAAUUUAUUGCUAUAAAAUUUGGGGUUGGACAUACUGAAUUUUUGAGUUAACAUACAUGAAUAUUUAAUGAUUUGCUUGAUUGAGGAUUUGUAAUUAUAUGUAGGUAUGUAAAUAAUGAUUUUCAAGACUAACUGCUAUGCAUGAUUCUUGUUCAACUAUUUAACUGUUAUGUAUUAAAUUUAGGCAGGAGGAGUUAUUAUGGAGUAAUAAGGAUGUUAUUAUGGGUUUUUGGUGUAAACGAAUGGCUGUGAAAUUGGUAACACAAAACUAUGCACACCACAUGUUUGACAAAAGUCCCAAGUGGACUGUUUUGGCUAAAAAUCGAAUAUAAGAAGAAAGUAAAGCUUGAGCUAGGUAUGAAUACCAUAUAUGAUGAUAGAUAAACAUUUUUGGUGUACUAGAUGAAAACAAAAUCCAAUAUCAAGCCAAAAUGAAAAGUUGAAAACUAGUGCGUCAAGCUAUUCUUGACCACUAUUUUGAGCAACUUAAUUAUUCCAAAAUGGGGAGUUUAUACUCUAUAAUAGCAGCCUUGUAUGCAAUGUAUAAUAUACUUUUAAAAUUUGUUGUUGUUCGUGAAUGAAUCAAAAGUUAUUAGAUUGUUAAGUGUCUAGUUUGGAGCAAGGUUGCUGCCCACGGCAGCAGCAGUCACCAUGAUAGUCAAUGACUGGGGGCUUCCUUGGCACUCAGUCAGCCCAUUUUAACUACCCAAACUUGCCCAACUAAUAUAUCUCAAUAUUAAGUAAAUGUCUCAUCUAUGGUAGCUUCAAAAUUCAACUCAACCAAACAAAGAAUGUUGAAAUAAAAGUGUAGCAAAUCAUAGACCAAAGAAAAGAAGUGGCAGCAGUUGGUACCAGCAGCAAAUAGCUGUAGUUGGAAGUGCUUGGAUGAGCCAUUUUUGGCUUUUUGGUGUAGUUUAAAAGCUUAACCAUCAAGCUCAAAUUUUAAAUCCUAAAUAAGCAAGUGUGUGAAAUUUAUAACAAAACAAUAAUUCAUCUAGAUGGGUAAAGUAAAAGAUAAAAAAUUGGCAGCAACAAUUUGCUGCGAAUAGCAGCAAGAAGCUACUAUAG
rnacentral:lncRNA from 1 species